rnacentral:tRNA from 1 species
GAUAGUGUGGCCGAGUGGUCUAUGGCGCUGGUUUUAGGCACCAGUCUCUUCGAAGGCAAGGGUUCGAAUCCCUUCACUGUCA